UACAGAGGGGGCAAGCGUUGUUCGGAAUUACUGGGCGUAAAGGGCGCGUAGGCGGCCCGCUAAGUCGAACGUGAAAUCCCCGGGCUCAACCCGGGAACUGCGUCCGAUACUGGUGGGCUUGAAUCCGGGAGAGGGAUGCGGAAUUCCCAGUGUAGAGGUGAAAUUCGUAGAUAUUGGGAAGAACACCGGUGGCGAAGGCGGCUCUCUGGACCGAGACUGACGCUGAGGCGCGAAAGCGUGGGGAGCAAACAGG
rnacentral:rRNA from 1 species